UACGUAGGGGGCAAGCGUUGUCCGGAUUAUUGGGCGUAAAGAGCGUGUAGGCGGUCAGUAGGUCCGUUGUGAAAGUCCAGGGCUCAACCCUGGGAUGCGGAUGGAUACUGUCGAGCUCGAGUCCGGAAGAGGCGAGUGGAAUUCCUGGUGUAGCGGUGAAAUGCGCAGAUAUCAGGAGGAACACCAAUGGCGAAGGCAGCUCGCUGGGACGUGACUGACGCUGAGACGCGAAAGCGUGGGGAGCAAACAGG
rnacentral:rRNA from 1 species